ACGGAAGGCAGCAGUGGGGAAUAUUGGGCAAUGGGCGAAAGCCUGACCCAGCAACGCCGCGUGAAGGAUGACGGUCUUCGGAUUGUAAACUUCUUUAAUUGGGGAAGAACAAAAUGACCUACCCAAAGAAUAAGUCACGGCUGACUACGUGCCGGCAGCCGCGGUAAUACGUAGGUGACAAGCGUUAUCCGGAUUUACUGGGCGUAAAGGGCGUGUAGGCGGUCUUGCAAGUCAGAAGUGAAAUUCCUGAGCUCAACUCGGGCGCUGCUUCUGAAACUGCAGGACUUGAGUGCUGGAGGGGAUAGCGGAAUUCCUAGUGUAGCGGUGAAAUGCGUAGAUAUUAGGAGGAACACCAGUGGCGAAGGCGGCUUACUGGACUGUAACUGACGUUGAGGCUCGAAAGCGUGGGGAGCAAACAGGAUUAGAUACCCUGGUA
rnacentral:rRNA from 1 species